rnacentral:tRNA from 1 species
GCUCUCGAAGGAUAACAGUUAUCCGCUGGUCUUAGGAGCCAAAAACUCUUGGUGCAAAUCCAAGCGAGAGCU